rnacentral:lncRNA from 1 species
GCGGGAGCGAAGGGGGCGGGUCAGGGGCUGCGGGCUUUCUCCCGCUGCAUUAUCCCUGGCCCACCGCCUCCCUCUGCAGGUGCGGCGGCUGGUUCGUAUCGCCUACCCACCCGCCCCCGCUCCCGUUUUUGUGUGUCUCGAUGUCUUUCUAUCCCCUUUCUCUGAGUAUUUAUUUGUCCCCUCGUCUCUGCCCUCGCCCCGCUGAGACUCUGGACCCUCUUUUCUAAGUCUCUACCCUCCCUCCGGGUCUCUGUCUCAUUGUUCUCUGAAUCUGUUCCCCUCCUUCUGAGUCUUUACUCCCUUCUCCCUAAGGUUCAGUCUCCUCUCCCCCAACUGUGUCUCCGUCCCCCCACCCCCAGUCCCUUUCUCCUGGUCUCUGUAGCUUAUUCUCGGGGAUUUGCCUCUCUCUCUCUGGGCCUCUGCCCCCUCCCGGUCUCUGUCUCUUCUCUUUGUGUCUCUGUCCUCCACUCCCUCUCUGGGGCGCUGUCCUCCUUGCCCUAGGCCCUUGUCUUCCUCUCCCUGGGUCUCUGUCCCCUCCAGGUCUCUGUCCCUCUUCUUUGUGUCUCUGUCCUCCACUCCCCUCUCCCAGCCUGUACCCCCCACCCCCCGUCUCUAUCAUCUGAAUCUCUGUCCCCCUUGCUCUUGUUCUCUGACGACCUCUCUGUCAGUAUCUUUUUCCUCUCCUCUCUCUCCCUCCUCUGUAAGUGCCUUUUCUCUUUCUCUCCUUUUUCUCUCUGUCCCCUAUGCGGGUCUCUAUCCCCACUCCCCGUGCCUCUUUCAUCCCCUUAUGAGGCUCUGUCUCCACUUCUUUGGGACUUUGUCCCGCUGUCCUUUGGUCUCUGUCCCUCCAUCACCCCCCUCUAACCCCCAUCCUGGCCAGGACCCGAGGCUGCGUCACUGCGGAGAGAGUUGCAGAAGUGGAGCCUGUCCUGCAGACCAAAGAGGUAUUUCCUUCACCCCCCCCCCAGACCUUGGGCGGUACUCAAGCCCCCGAUGGGACCCAGGAAGGCAGAGAAAAGACAUCAAAACUUCCUACUCUUCUCUACCCUGAAUUCUGGUGUAUCCCCAGGCAGAAGCAGUGAAUCCUGAGGUGAGGGACUGGGCUUAGGUUGAGGCUUGGGUUGAGUGAGGUUUCUGAGCAAGUCACGAGUGGGGGUGGUGGCUGGAGGAGGGGUUGGGUAGGCACUAGGGGUGGGAGUAGGGACUAGGGUAAACACCUAAAAAUCAGCUAUGCUCCCUUAUAUCCUCUCCCCUCCCCCCAACUCUACUUUUCUCUUCUGCUUUUGACAGCAGCCAGGCACGGGAUCCAGUUACCAAAUCAGCGUUUUUGCAGAGGUCAGAAGGUGUGGGAGAAGGUGGGGGCUGUGGGCGAGGGGGCUGCCAUAGGGGACGAUAUGGGAUGAGACUCCAGAUUAGAGGCCAUGGGAGCGGGGCGGAGGCCCUGGGGCAAGGAGUAACAGUAUAGUCCAGACUCCAUCAGGUCCAGGGAAA